AGGAUAAACGCUGGCGGCGUGCCUAACACAUGCAAGUCGAACGCGCUUUCGUCUUCGGUGGUACACGAGCGGCGGACGGCUGAGUAACGCGUAGGAACGUACCCCAAACUGAGGGAUAAGCACCAGAAAUGGUGUCUAAUACCGCAUGUGGCCUAAGGGCUAAAGCUUCGGCGGUUUGGGAACGGCCUGCGUCCGAUUAGCUAGAUGGUGAGGUAAUGGCUCACCAUGGCGACGAUCGGUAGCUGGUCUGAGAGGAUGAUCAGCCAGACUGGGACUGAGAACGGCCCAGACUCCUACGGGAGGCAGCAGUAGGGAAUUUUCCACAAUGGGCGAAAGCCUGAUGGAGCAACGCCGCGUGCAGGAUGAAUGCCUUCGGGUUGUAAACUGCUUUUAUCUGUGACGAAUAUGACGGUAGCAGAUGAAUAAGGAUCGGCUAACUCCGUGCCAGCAGCUGC
rnacentral:rRNA from 1 species